CCUACGCCGACGCGGACCACACCCUCUGCGCGCUCGCCGCCGCUGCCGGGGGCUUCGGCCGCCACGCCAUCGAGGGCCUCCACGGCGCCGCCUACCACGUCACUUCCCUCCAAGAUGCCACCUUGCAAGGCAUGACAAGACGAUGAUCAUCGGCGCAGACCCCACACACGUUGACAGCAGGUGCAUCAGUGUCACCAUCCACCAUUGCUUCUUCGACGGCACGCGGCUGAGGCACCCGCGCCUGCACUUCGGCAAGGUCCACCCCUCAACAACUACACUAGGGACUGGGGAAUAUAUGUUGUCUAUGCCAGCGUCGAAUCUCAGGUAGCUCAUUUGAAUGCACUGUUCCAAAAUUCAAAUGCUUGCAACUGGCAACACUUACCUGGAGGAGAUCAUCAAUUUCUACUGAAUCAAUCAAUACCUCCAUUCACAAAUUGUGUCCCAAUGCAACAUAUACGAAGGAGGACACAAGAAGACGGUCUUCAAGUACAUGUCGGAGAAGGCUAUCGAUAGAGAAGAGACGGUGGCCGGGUGGAUUAGGUUGGAGGGCGACGCGUUCCUGCACGGGGCGAUGUCGUACGUGGUCGACGGCCCGGGCGCUGAGUGUGCUUCAGGCCAGAGAAGUAGUAUGACAAGUGGACGAUGGAGGUGGCGUCGCCGACGCUCAAGUAGGUCAUUCAGCUCCGCGUCGGGUGGCAGUCUGUGCCCAGCCCCCCAGGCAAUGAACGACUGAUCCAUUCGCGUAACGGGGCUACUUCUGGUAGGUGCUGAUCAAGACACGGGCCAACAUGGAUGUUUAAAACACAUCUAAUCAGAUUAUCUCUAGCUAACGAAAUUUGGAUAGAAAAUGAUGUUGGGGUCGCUAAUCGGAUUCUUCGGCACGUCAUUUGGGAGGGUAGGAUUGUGGCAAUAGGAUCUCUGUGUUGAUUUUGAAGGAGUUUCUGUAGA